GUGUUUACAGUGAGAUAAACUUCUUUUAAUAAGUUAAUUAAUGUUAUCGAAAAGCUGAUGGUUAUUUGGAGACGACUAUUCUAUCCUUUCUUUAUUGGUGUAGUUCAAUAGCGACAUGCAUGUCAGAUUUAUUGUGCCUCGCAUGCAGUUUGAGCACUUCCCCACCCAAUAUGUAGUUUUAUGAUGCACUGAAUACGGAAAUUCCAAUGUGAGC
rnacentral:misc_RNA from 1 species